rnacentral:rRNA from 1 species
CCUACGGGUGGCUGCAGUGGGGAAUAUUGGACAAUGGGCGAAAGCCUGAUCCAGCCAUGCCGCGUGUGUGAAGAAGGCCUUCGGGUUGUAAAGCACUUUCAGUGGGGAAGAAAGCCUUGGGGCUAAUACCCUCGAGGAAGGACAUCACCCACAGAAGAAGCACCGGCUAACUCCGUGCCAGCAGCCGCGGUAAUACGGAGGGUGCGAGCGUUAAUCGGAAUUACUGGGCGUAAAGCGCGCGUAGGCGGUCUGAUAAGCCGGUUGUGAAAGCCCCGGGCUCAACCUGGGAACGGCAUCCGGAACUGUCAGGCUAGAGUGCAGGAGAGGAAGGUAGAAUUCCCGAUGUAGCGGUGAAAUGCGUAGAGAUCGGGAGGAAUACCAGUGGCGAAGGCGGCCUUCUGGACUGACACUGACGCUGAGGUGCGAAAGCGUGGGUAGCAAACAGGAUUAGAUACCCGAGUAGUC